CACCCCAUUGUGACACAACAAAAAGCAAUCCAAACAUUAAAAGCCCCGAACUGUGAAUACCUGUUCAGAUUCCAAAUCCAUGCGACACCUUCUCCAUCUCCUUCUCCACGUAGAAAACCCCUAAUCCCCUCAUGUUUCGCAGACUCCAUUCCUCUCUCUCUUGCUCUAACACCACUCUCUCCUCUCCAAUCUUUCACCACAAAAAAACCCCAAUCUUUCACCACAAAAAAACCUUUCUUUCCAUUCACUCCAAACCUACCUCCCUCUCUCAACCUCAUCGUUUCCCUUCAGCCCCACUAAGAUUCUUUGCUUCUUGCUCCAAAAUGAGCGAAACCCAGAAACCUAAACUCACUAUUCCACCUCCCGAUAAAGUCUCAAAGCCUGAAAUGCUACGUGCCCUUGAGUUCUCAUUGGGUUCUUCCUUCAGUACUAACCCAAUUUUCCCCCCUCCAAAUCCUUUGAUCAUUGUAAUUAGUGGCCCAAGUGGGGUUGGAAAAGAUGCUAUUAUCAAGAAAUUGAGACAAGUUAGAGAAAGUUUGCAUUUUGUUGUGACUGCCACUAGUAGGCCAAUGAGAGAAGGGGAGGUUGAUGGUAAAGAUUAUUACUUUGUGUCAAAGGAAGAAUUUUUAUCAAUGGUUGAGAGAAAUGAGUUGCUAGAGUAUGCACUUGUGUAUGGUGAUUAUAAAGGUAUACCAAAAAAGCAAAUUAGGGAGUUUAUGGAAAAAGGGCAUGACAUAGUUUUGAGAGUUGAUGUCCAAGGAGCUGAGACUUUGCGGAAGAUUUUGGGGAAUUCUGCUGUCUUUAUAUAUUUAGUGGCAGAGAGUGAGUUGGAACUUGUGAAGAGGUUGAUUGAUAGGAAGACUGAGACUAGUGAGGCUUUGCUUGUGAGAAUUGCGACUGCGAGAGAGGAGGUCAAGCAUGUUAGGGAUUUCGAUUAUGUGGUGGUGAACGGUGAAGGGAAGUUGGAUAGUGCAGUUAAGUUGGUGGAAUCUAUUAUUGAUGCUGAGAAGGCCAAGGUCAGGCAAAGGAGGGCUGUGAUUUAGUCGAGGGCUUAAAGUAUUGUUCUCGAGAUAUAUUCCCCUUGUUGUAUCUGUAACGAAUAUCCUUAGUCUUAUAAUUGAGUAUCCAGGAGGUAUGGGACAUCAGAAGUUAAAAAAUGUUGGUGACUAAGUUACUUUAGAAACUUGGCUCGAGUAAUUUGUAGCCAGGAAAUAUCUUGCACAUGGACAAGUAUUCAGAAUGGAAGUUGCAAAAUCUGCCAUUAUGUGAGAAGAGACACUAGUGGGAGUGGGAAUGGAUCUGUGUAAGUUUAAUGGAGCUCAUCUUAGCUUGUGGUUUAGGCAUAGUUGGAUUGUGCAAUAACGGGAGAGGAAAACAUAGGAAUAGGAUAAUUUUAUUUUACCAUUUCAAAGUCUAUGUUAGCACUUGAAGAAGGAACCUCCUUUUGCAUAGCCGGAACGACAUAUGGAUCAUUGGUCGAUUUCUCAGCUAGCAGAAUAUGGAGCUCUCAUUUAAGUCGAAGUUUGAGUUGUUUUAAGCCAGUUUGGUAUUGCGGUGCAUUUUCAUGUUUGUUUUCUUGUGGUGUACUGCAAUAUCAAAAGAAGUCUUGAGCAUCUUUGUCUUUGUGUGUGGAACAAUGUUAGCAUGUGCUUUAAAAAAUAUUAAAUUAAUAAUUAUUUUCAGUA